rnacentral:rRNA from 1 species
AGCGAACGCUGGCGGCAGGCCUAACACAUGCAAGUCGAACGGAUCCUUCGGGAUUAGUGGCGGACGGGUGAGUAACACGUGGGAACGUGCCCUUUGGUUCGGAACAACUCAGGGAAACUUGAGCUAAUACCGGAUGUGCCCUUCGGGGGAAAGAUUUAUCGCCAUUGGAGCGGCCCGCGUCUGAUUAGCUAGUUGGUGAGGUAAAGGCUCACCAAGGCGACGAUCAGUAGCUGGUCUGAGAGGAUGAUCAGCCACAUUGGGACUGAGACACGGCCCAAACUCCUACGGGAGGCAGCAGUGGGGAAUCUUGCGCAAUGGGCGGAAGCCUGACGCAGCCAUGCCGCGUGAAUGAUGAAGGUCUUAGGAUUGUAAAAUUCUUUCACCGGGGACGAUAAUGACAGUACCCGGAGAAGAAGCCCCGGCUAACUUCGUGCCAGCCGCCGCCGUAAGAC